GUGGAAGAGGUUGUGUUAGACUGGGUCUGAUUGAUUUGGUUCCUCAGAUUUUUUAGCUCGUUGCUCUUGGGAGACAUUCUCCUUGAGCUUAAUUAUUCUUCCGAUGCCACCAUCUUGAAUAAAUUAUUUUUACAAAAAAAAUAGCAUUUCGACUCACAAUCACAUUGUGAUCUUCCGAAAUAUAAAAACAGUAUCCUAAUG
rnacentral:lncRNA from 1 species